rnacentral:rRNA from 1 species
CAGAGGGGGCAAGCGUUGUUCGGAAUUACUGGGCGUAAAGGGCGCGUAGGCGGCCUGCUAAGUCGAACGUGAAAUCCCCGGGCUCAACCCGGGAACUGCGUCCGAUACUGGUUGGCUUGAAUCCGGGAGAGGGAUGUGGAAUUCCAGGUGUAGCGGUGAAAUGCGUAGAUAUCUGGAGGAACACCGGUGGCGAAGGCGGCAUCCUGGACCGGUAUUGACGCUGAGGCGCGAAAGCCAGGGGAGCAAACGGGAUUAGAUGCCCCGGUAGUCCUGGCCCUAAACGAUGAAUGCUUGGUGUGGCGGGUAUCGAUCCCUGCCGUGCCGAAGCUAACGCAUUAAGCAUUCCGCCUGGGGAGUACGGUCGCAAGGCUG